AAUAGAAGUGGAGGAGAGGAACAAGAAGAGGAAGCUAGGGUUUUGGAGGAGAAAACAAGAGGUUCUGGAGUUUAGUAGCCGCGUGUGACCUAGCCGGAGGUUCUUCCUUGGUUAUUGGAGAUUAGGACGAUGGUUGCAGGCAGGAAUGAUGAUGCUAUUGCUGAGGCGUUGAGGAUGUUGGCUGGCUCCAUUGGUCAGAUUCCUCAAGCGAAUGCUGGUAACCGAAAUGGGGAUGAUGAUGAGUACCGUGCCUUAGGAAGAUUCCAGAGGAACAAUCCUCCUGUCUUUGA